rnacentral:rRNA from 1 species
UGGGGAAUAUUGGACAAUGGGGGCAACCCUGAUCCAGCGAUGCCGCGUGAGUGAAGAAGGCCCUCGGGUUGUAAAACUCUUUCACCUGUGACGAUAAUGACGGUAGCAGGAGAAGAAGCACCGGCAAACUCUGUGCCAGCAGCCGCGGUAAGACAGAGGGUGCUAGCGUUGUUCGGAAUGACUGGGCGUAAAGAGCGCGUAGGCGGUUGCUCAAGUCAGAUGUGAAAGCCCCGGGCUUAACCUGGGAACUGCAUUUGAUACUGGGCCACUGGAGGACGGGAGAGGAAAGCGGAAUUCCUAGUGUAGAGGUGAAAUUCGUAGAUAUUAGGAGGAACACCAGAGGCGAAGGCGGCUUUCUGGCCCGUUACUGACGCUGAGGCGCGAAAGCGUGGGGAGCAAACAGG